rnacentral:tRNA from 1 species
GCCUGGGUGGCUCAGUCAGUCAAGCGUCUGACUCUUGAUUUUGGCUCAGGUCAUGAAGUCAGGUUUGUGGGUUCAAGGCCUGCCUCAGGCU